CGCUGAAGCCCCAGCUUGCUGGGGUGGAUGAGUGGCGAACGGGUGAGUAACACGUGAGUAACCUGCCCAUCACUCUGGGAUAAGCGCUGGAAACGGCGUCUAAUACUGGAUACGAGCAGCGACCGCAUGGUCAGCUGUUGGAAAGACUGGUUCGGUGAUGGAUGGACUCGCGGCCUAUCAGCUUGUUGGUGAGGUAAUGGCUCACCAAGGCGACGACGGGUAGCCGGCCUGAGAGGGUGACCGGCCACACUGGGACUGAGACACGGCCCAGACUCCUACGGGAGGCAGCAGUGGGGAAUAUUGCACAAUGGGCGCAAGCCUGAUGCAGCAACGCCGCGUGAGGGAUGACGGCCUUCGGGUUGUAAACCUCUUUUAGUAGGGAAGAAGCCUUCGGGUGACGGUACCUGCAGAAAAAGCACCGGCUAACUACGUGCCAGCAGCCGCGGUAAUACGUAGGGUGCAAGCGUUGUCCGGAAUUAUUGGGCGUAAAGAGCUCGUAGGCGGCUUGUCGCGUCUGCUGUGAAAACCCGAGGCUCAACCUCGGGCCUGCAGUGGGUACGGGCAAGCUAGAGUGCGGUAGGGGAGAUUGGAAUUCCUGGUGUAGCGGUGGAAUGCGCAGAUAUCAGGAGGAACACCGAUGGCGAAGGCAGAUCUCUGGGCCGUAACUGACGCUGAGGAGCGAAAGCAUGGGGAGCGAACAGGAUUAGAUACCCUGGUAGUCCAUGCCGUAAACGUUGGGAACUAGAUGUAGGGCCUGUUCCACGGGUUCUGUGUCGUAGCUAACGCAUUAAGUUCCCCGCCUGGGGAGUACGGCCGCAAGGCUAAAACUCAAAGGAAUUGACGGGGGCCCGCACAAGCGGCGGAGCAUGCGGAUUAAUUCGAUGCAACGCGAAGAACCUUACCAAGGCUUGACAUAUAGAAGAACGGGUCAGAAAUGAUUCACUCUUUGGACACUUCUAUACAGGUGGUGCAUGGUUGUCGUCAGCUCGUGUCGUGAGAUGUUCGGUUAAGUCCGGCAACGAGCGCAACCCUCGUCCUAUGUUGCCAGCA
rnacentral:rRNA from 1 species